rnacentral:rRNA from 1 species
GUCGAGAAUCUUCCGCAAUGGGGGAAACCCUGACGGAGCGACGCCGCGUGCGGGACGAAGGUCUUCGGAUUGUAAACCGCUGUCACCUGGGAUGAACAUUGACCGUACCAGGAGAGGAAGCCACGGCUAACUACGUGCCAGCAGCCGCGGUAAUACGUAGGUGGCGAGCGUUAUUCGGAUUUAUUGGGCGUAAAGGGUCCGUAGGGGGUCUGGUGUGGCCGGUGUGAAAGCUCAAGGCUCAACCUUGAAAUGGCACCGGCGACUACCGGGCUUGAGUGCCGCAGAGGAAAGUGGAAUUCCUGGUGUAGCGGUGGAAUGCGUAGAUAUCAGGAGGAACACCGAAGGCGAAGGCAGCUUUCUGGGCGGCAACUGACCCUGAGGGACGAAAGCUGGGGGAGCAAACAGGAUUAGAAACCCGGGUAGUCC